CGCCAUUGCGAGAAUCUUCGGAACCGAUGCUACAAACCUAUAUGUAGGAACCAUAAUCCUUGUGAGUCAUAAUGCACCACUCCUAAGUGCAUUCAGACAUCGUGUGACGACGCAUGGUCUGCCCGAUAUAUCGUGGACAGAACGCCACUGCCUAUACGACGAAUCCGGUCGAAGCGAAUACCUAAAGAGUAUAGAAUAGCGUAAAGGGCAGAUCGCAGCCUGCCAUUCCCCGACUUCCCGGCCAGGCGCCGGACCGACAUAUGAGAUUGCUGCUCCAGCGUUGAGCCAUCGCUCCGAGGACCGAUUCCGCGUACCUGUUGAUAGCGACUGUAAUCACGGAGUAUGGAGCCAUACUCCACCACUCCAAGUUGAGAGUAACUGCAAGUUACUGCUCUCCAUUCAGCAACUUUGACCGGGAGGUAUCCUCCUUGCUCCACACAUGCUUUUGCCAUAGGGUCCCCAACGAUAGGCAACUUGGAAGGUAAGGUGCCGGCAACUGAAAAUUUUGUGAGAGCUGGUAUCAACGACGAAAUCAUGAGCGGAACAUUACGUGUCAUCAAUCGGUAAUUUUUGAAGAUGCGUAACACAAUCACAACUGAUAUUCGCCACAAGAGGAAUGACCCAAUUAUAGUGGGGAAUAAACGGCCAAUUACAGGAAGCAGGAUUACCUGACGACAUCAGCGAGAACGGCGAGCCAAACCCCGACCUCUAUCUAUUCUACGCUCAUGAGAUUGAGAUAACUCUUUCUAUCUCGCGCGUUACGUGUAGAAAUUUCCUUCACUUAAUUUUCCUUUCCUUCUUCUUUACUGCUAUCGCUACCGUUUCUCUAUCGUUUUAUCGUUUUAUAUGACCGUUCAGCUCCUUUCCUUUUCUAUUACCUUUUUUUUCUUACUAUCGAUAAAUUUUAUUUAAAUUUAAAUCAGUGCAUGCGUGCCCGAGUCACCGGCUAAGGGUACAAGCUGUGACUGUCCGUGAGACUUGGGGUCCUCAAAUAGUUGUCGUCAGACACGGAUGACUCAGUGCUGUACACAUAUAUUUGUCUCACCGUGCUGUAACUAUCUGGUCCUAUUCGAGUUUUACAAAAGCAAAGUGUUGA